rnacentral:rRNA from 1 species
UGAGUAAUGUCUGGGAAACUGCCCGAUAGAGGGGGAUAACUACUGGAAACGGUAGCUAAUACCGCAUAACCUCGUAAGAGCAAAGUGGGGGACCUUCGGGCCUCACGCUAUCGGAUGUGCCCAGAUGGGAUUAGCUAGUAGGUGGGGUAAUGGCUCACCUAGGCGACGAUCCCUAGCUGGUCUGAGAGGAUGACCAGCCACACUGGAGCUGAGACGCGGUCCAGACUCCUACGGGAGGCAGCAGUGGGGAAUAUUGCACAAUGGGCGCAAGCCUGAUGCAGCCAUGCCGCGUGUAUGAAGAAGGCCUUCGGGUUGUAAAGUACUUUCAGUGGGGAGGAAGGCGUUAAGGUUAAUAACCUUGGCGAUUGACGUUACCCGCAGAAGAAGCACCGGCUAACUCCGUGCCAGCAGCCGCGGUAAUACGGAGGGUGCAAGCGUUAAUCGGAAUUACUGGGCGUAAAGCGCACGCAGCGGUCUGUCAAGUCGGAUGUGAAAUCCCCGGG